CAAAAAGAAUUAUAUAUAUUAAAUAGAAUACAAAGGUAUAUCUUUCGGAUCACACUUCUCAGAACAUCCGACACUAAAACACCUGAAAUGAUCAGCGAUUUUACCCCCCAACAACAGUAAGAACAAUCAAG